rnacentral:pre_miRNA from 1 species
UCAUGAUGGCCUUGAUCCAAAGCCCAUUGAAGUCUAUGGGAAUCUUUUCAUUGACUUCAGAGGGCUUUGGUUCAUGCCCUAUAAGA